GUGUCAGCAGCCGCGGUAAUACGGAGGGUGCAAGCGUUAUCCGGAUUUAUUGGGUUUAAAGGGUGCGUAGGCGGUAUAUUAAGUCAGUGGUGAAAUUUUGCAGCUUAACUGUAGCAUUGCCAUUGAAACUGAAGUACUUGAGUUAUCUUGAGGUAGGCGGAAUGUGUAGUGUAGCGGUGAAAUGCUUAGAUAUUACACAGAACACCGAUUGCGAAGGCAGCUUACUAAGGGUAUACUGACGCUGAGGCACGAAAGCGUGGGGAUCGAACAGGAUUAGAUACCCCGGUAGUCC
rnacentral:rRNA from 1 species